GAUGAACGCUGGCGGCGUGCUUAAUACAUGCAAGUCGAACGGAAAGGCCCUGCUUUUGUGGGGUGCUCGAGUGGCGAACGGGGGAGUAACACGUGAGUAACCUGCCCCUGACUUUGGGAUAACUUCAGGAAACUGGGGCUAAUACCGGAUAGGAGCUCUUGCUGCAUGGUGGGGGUUGGAAAGUUUGGGCGGGUGGGGAUGGACUCGCGGCUUAACAGCUAGUUGGUGGGGUAGUGGCGUACCAAGGCUUCGACGGGUAGCCGGCCUGAGAGGGUGACCGGGGACAAUGCGACUGAGGGACGGCCCAGAAGGCAAUGGUAGGCAGCAGGCGAAAGUCUUACGGAACAAGGCCGCGUGUGAGACGAAGGCGUCGCGUGCGGGAAGACCGGUUACGGGUUAAGAACAGCUUUCGCCGGAAACGAGGCGUGAGUGACGGUAAUGGAUCAGAAAGCAACGGCUAACUACGUG
rnacentral:rRNA from 1 species